CACGCCGUAAACGAUGAGUGCUAAGUGUUGGAGGGUUUCCGCCCUUCAGUGCUGCAGCUAACGCAUUAAGCACUCCGCCUGGGGAGUACGGUCGCAAGACUGAAACUCAAAGGAAUUGACGGGGGCCCGCACAAGCGGUGGAGCAUGUGGUUUAAUUCGAAGCAACGCGAAGAACCUUACCAGGUCUUGACAUCCUCUGACAAUCCUAGAGAUAGGACUUUCCCUUCGGGGACAGAGUGACAGGUGG
rnacentral:rRNA from 1 species